UGGGGAAUUUUGGACAAUGGGCGAAAGCCUGAUCCAGCAAUGCCGCGUGUGUGAAGAAGGCCUUCGGGUUGUAAAGCACUUUUGUCCGGAAAGAAAUCCUUGGCUCUAAUACAGUCGGGGGAUGACGGUACCGGAAGAAUAAGCACCGGCUAACUACGUGCCAGCAGCCGCGGUAAUACGUAGGGUGCAAGCGUUAAUCGGAAUUACUGGGCGUAAAGCGUGCGCAGGCGGUUUGCUAAGACCGAUGUGAAAUCCCCGGGCUCAACCUGGGAACUGCAUUGGUGACUGGCAGGCUAGAGUAUGGCAGAGGGGGGUAGAACUCCACGUGUAGCAGUGAAAUGCGUAGAGAUGUGGAGGAAUACCGAUGGCGAAGGCAGCCCCCUGGGCCAAUACUGACGCUCAUGCACGAAAGCGUGGGGAGCAAACAGGAUUAGAUACCCUGGUAGUCCACGCCCCCAAACGAUGUCAACUAGUUGUUGGGGAUUCAUUUUCCUUAGUAACGUAGCUAACGCGUGAAGUUGACCGCCUGGGGAGUACGGUCGCAAGAUUAAACUAAAUG
rnacentral:rRNA from 1 species